GGGGGGAAAAUGGAUAAAUAGAAACUGUUUCUUCAAUAAAAUAAAAAAAAUUGAAAUUCAAAUACUUUUUACUUGUCCACAGAAACGUUAAUGCAGUGCAGUGCUGUAUCACUGUAUGGCGGUACUCCAGUCCAGCUGAUGUCAAUAAAGGACGAUUAUUUCGCCGUAGAAGAAACCGAAGACUGAGGCACCAGGCAGGCAGCUAAAGCUAAUAUCAGCACCAGGCAAGGCAAGCUGAAGCUAAUAUCAGCACCAGGCAAGGCAAGCUGAAGCUAAUAUCAGCACCAGGACUGCUGAUGGAGCGAUUGCUGAGGUCAUGAGCUGAAGUUCAUUUGUGCAACGUACAGCAUCAGCCAUGUCUGUCCACUGUCUCCUGCGCUGUACCAUCAGAGUAGAAAGAAAACAUGUAGCCACACAUUUAUUCCUGCAGAGAGCUCUGUCUGGAGCAGACGCUGUCAAUGCUCUAAGGCCAUUUUACUUUGCUGUCCAUCCUGACUUCUUUGGUCAAUAUCCCAGGGAACGGGAAGUGAAUGAAAAUUCGUUAAAAAGGUUGAAUGGCUAUUUGGAAAAUCUCCAGAAAACUGGCUCACGUUCAGUUCAGCCAAUGAAACUCACCUUUUAUGUGAGAGACACAAAGGACAGCAGUGACGUGCAGCAAGAUCUCCUCACUUCAGGUUUCCGUUCGGUGAGCUUUGUCCUGCAUACGAACGAUAUCCUGAGCACAGUGACGAAUGUGUUAAAGUCCUGCAGUCUGUCCAUGGAACACAUAAAAGGACUUAAAGCAGUCGCUAAAGCUCCCCAAAGUCCAGCUGAAGCCGCCAUUCCUUUCUACAGACCCAUCAAGUGGGAUAAGAGCUACUACACCUUCACUGGCUUCAGAGACCCUGAGGAGGAGCUGCAGCAGGCCACGAGAGUUGAGCCUACUCUCAACAUGUGGCUUCAAAACAAUGAAUCAGAGGCUACAAAGAAGCUCAAUAAUAGUCUUCCUCGGAGAGAAGAACUCAAACGGUUGAAGAAGGAACUGUGCCACAAGUUUGACCUGGCUGACAUCAGGUGGCAGCGCAGUUGGGGAGUGGCCCACAGAUGCUCUCAGCUUCAGAGUCUGAAUCGACUGUCUAUGCAGAAUCCAGAGGCUAUGCUCAACCUUCAAGGUCACACGGUUGUGUUUGCUGACCAAUCGGGGAUGAACGCCUCUGGGCAUGCCAUGCUUGGAACGACGGAUGUUCAUCAUCAGUGGAGCAAACUGUUUGAGCAGCUUCCCGGCUUCCGUGUCCUGCAUCAGCAGACAGAGUGGCUCAAGGAGAGGAUCAGUCUUCUCCUGGGUGGGACUCAAGUCGCUCACGCGGAGAGACUAGGACCGGUCGAGCCCAUUACGGAGCUCUACAGAACCCUUAAUACCUUCCAUAAUAAUCUGAUAUCACAGAGGCUAUGUCUACACCCCAGAAGCCUUGAGGGGCUCAACAUGAUACUGGAGAAGGGCCGGUCUAGUCCUGGUCUUCAUGAGAUGGGCCACUUCAUCAUACCUACCAAUUGUGACCUGCUCAAGCUGCAGGCAUUCCUUCAGAGCCACGCACCCAGUGCCAGACAACGCUCUCAAAAUAGAAAACUGCUGCAGGCAGAAGAGGAGGCUGCGAUGAAGCUCUGUCUUCAGAGUCUUUCUCUUCAGGAUCUUUCCAAGGAGCCCAGUGUCACCUCCAGCCAGAUAAUUCUUUGCUGUAAAAGGUUGUUGGGCCAGCGUUCGCCCCUCAUGCUGGGCCUCCAUGUUUGCGUUUCCCAUUUCUACUCGGUUACGCAGGACGGAGACCUUUGUAUCCCCUGGGACUGGAAAGGUUGAACCCGACAAGGUUUAGUCAGUCCACAAGGUACCUUUCACAUGGCAGUUUAUUAAUGUGAACCUACAUCUGUUGCUUUUCAACAAAUGGUCAGGCAAUGAUGAAUUAUUUAGUAACUGAUAUUUAAUAACUGAUGAAUCAUUGAAUAGGAAACACUUUAUUCUUUGCUGAAAAAAAACAAAAAGAGGAGCCAUGUUAAUGUUGAAACUGUAACUACUGAGAAAAUGGCCAUUACUGCAAUACAGUAUUUGGGAAACAUGAAGACUUGGCCAGUGGUCUAAUGUAAAUUCAAUUUCACAGUUAGGACAGUUCUAUUUUUACACACUUACACGUGGUUCAGUCCUUUGAAAGUUAUUUGGACACAUGGCAGUGAAUUGUUCCCUGUGUUCUAUACUUCUUUUUGUGGAAUUUUGUUUUUAACCCAAAUGAAAGUUGCCCUGCGAUUGGCUGGCGACCAGUUCGGGGUGUACCCCGCUUCUCGCCUCGAGUCAGCUGGGAUAGGCUGUAGCACCCCCGCAACCCUAUUGAGGAUAAGCGCAACCAUUUCUGUUGUCAAAUGUCCAUCCAUCCAUUUUCCUCCCCUCAUCCGAGGUCGUGUCGCGGGGGCAGUAGCUUUAGCAGGGAGGCCUGGACUUCCCUCUCCCCAGCCACUUCAUCCAGCUCUUCCGGGGCGAUCCUGAGGCGUUCCCACGCCAGCCGAGACCUGGGGCCUCAUGUACAAAGACUUGCGUGGAUUUCCUCCUAAAACAUGGCGUACGCUCAAAUCCAGAAAACGUCGUACGCACAAAAAUAUCCAGAUUUAUGAAACUCUGCGUACUCAUGAAUCCAAGCACAUUUCCUUCGUGCAUUCCAAUCAACGUGGAAAUGAGCACACGUUGGAGUAGCCGACUCCUCCCUGUCCCCGCCCACAUUUGAAUAUGCAAAUCAAAUUUAAAUGAACCCUGCACCUGAGAUGCCGAUCUCUGCAUGAUCAGAAAAAAAGGAAAAUGAGCAAGGUAAUGAAGAAAAAAGAUUUUUCUGAAUGUGAAGUUGCUCAAUGAAGUGGAGGCGCGCAAGAAAAUCCUCUUUGGCACGCUGUCCUCCGGCGUUAACAACACGCGAAAGAGGAGCGAAGGGGACAGCGUGUGUGCAGCUGUCAAUGCUGUGGAGUCGGAAUAGCAAGCACACGCUGAACUAAAAAAGAAGUGGUCAGGCAGUAAGGUGGAUGUGAAGCGGAGGACAGCUUCCCACCGCCAAAGUGUGGCCAAAAAAAGUCGGAAGAACCCCGUUCGAAGAGAGAAUCGCUGCGAUCAUGGGUGACUGCUCUCUGAGGUGAUGGGAGGACACAUGGCUCACUAUGAUCACCCCACAAGGUUAAUACCAUGUAUUUUUAGAACUCAUAACAAAUGUGUUCCUACAGUAACCUACACUCAGCCCUGAGAGAUAAAGGUUCAGGCGUAAAUAUUGUAUGUGUGGUAUUUGUAAUAAAUCUUUUGAAUUCAAAUAGAAGUACAUCAGCAUAACAUGCGUACGCCAGCCAUGGAGUUGGCAUGAGGCACCGCACAUUUCCACGAUCAUGUCACUCUUGAUACAUCUGAACUUUAUCGUGAAAAAGAACGGACACCACUUUUUUGUGCGUACGCACCUUUUGUACAUGAGGCCCCAGGUCUCUACAGCGUGUCCUGGGUCGUCCCAGGGGUCUCCUCCCGCAACACCUCACCAGGGAGGCAUCCUAAUCAUUUUGCAGCUAAAUUGGACCCCGUUGAGCCUUUUUGAAAUGUGAUUUGUCAAAACAACUAUAAUAAAGUAAUUGCAUGUGCAUUAGAGCUAUCAGGCCUCAAGUCGAGAGGAUCGGGGUUCAAAUCUUGUCUCAGGUCUUCUUUCUACAGCAGUUAAUUUUGGUUAAUAUGCUACCAAGGCUUAACACAGCUGUUUCUACAGUCUUUUCAUUUGUGCUCCUCAAUUUGUGUGUACCAUUUUGUAACCGAUUCAAAUUUAGAUGUAUAAGAAUAGCGCAAUCAUUAAAUAAAACUGCAAUAAUGAAAAAUGAAAAUGUCCAAAUCAGUCCUAGUUUCCCAAAAAAUUACCAAUAUUUCACAAAAGAUCUCUGUGUUUUUCUUCUUUAUGUUCAACAAGCCCAGAUUACUACUUCACACUAAGGACAUUUGGAAACUGAUGAGAUCGUCAUUACUUCUGUAUACGUAAUUAUGUACACUUUUUAUGACAUUUUUGUUCGGUGUGAGGAGAUCUUUAAAAAUCUAAGCACUUAAAAUAUGCUUAGUCUCAAUAAAGGUUCAACAUUGCAUACUCAAAUAUUUUUUAGCAACACUGUCAGUUAUUCAUUCAACUAUCUUUAUUUUUAUGGUUGCUGUUUGCAGUGUAGAACUGUACUGCAUCACAAGAGAUGUCUCAUAAUUUGGUUACCUCAAUUUGCUACGAGUCAAAAAUAUUAGUAACAGCUAUGUAGUAUAGUUCUGCACCACUGCAAACUACACUAUUUACACCCAUGGACAUUUGAAACGAAUACCUGUGUCAAUCAGUGGUGACAAUUCUCUUUGUUAAGGCAGCAUACAGUAUAUGAUACAGCUCAUGUAUUGGUUAAUACAGUAUUAUCAUGUUUAAGUGGUCAUUGUGGCUUGUAUUCAUCCACUAAAAUACUACUACAUACUAAAUGUUUUUCGAAUCACAAUUUCACUUUAGGUUAUAAUCUACAAUACUGUUAUUUCCAAACCAUGUCCCCAUAACUAACACUGUGUGUACUGUAAUGUGCAGUUGAAAUGAUCACUGUUGAGACAAGAGAUUUAGAUUUUAGUCCAGAAAUACAGUGGGGCAAAAAAGUUUAGUCAACCACCAAUUGUGUCAUUGCCAACAAAGAAUUGAGAUGAACUUUUGUUAUUGACCAAAUACCUAUUUCCCACCAUAAUUUGCAAAUAAAUUCUUUAAAAAUCA